rnacentral:rRNA from 1 species
AGAGUUUGAUCCUGGCUCAGAUUGAACGCUAGCGGCAUGCUUUACACAUGCAAGUCGAACGGCAGCGCGGGGUAACCUGGCGGCGAGUGGCGAACGGGUGAGUAAUACAUCGGAACGUGCCCUGUGAUGGGGGAUAACUACGCGAAAGCGUGCUAAUACCGCAUACGACCUACGGGUGAAAGUGGGGGAUCGCAAGACCUCACGUCAUAGGAGCGGCCGAUGGCGGAUUAGCUAGUUGGUGAGGUAAAGGCUUACCAAGGCAACGAUCCGUAGCUGGUCUGAGAGGACGACCAGCCACACUGGGACUGAGACACGGCCCAGACUCCUACGGGAGGCAGCAGUGGGGAAUCUUGCACGAUGGGGGCAACCCUGAUCCAGCAAUGCCGCGUGUGGAAUGAAGGCCUUCGGGUUGUAAACCACUUUUUGGCGGGGGCGAAAUAUCGAGUGCUAAUACCAUUCGGUGAUGACGGUACCCGCAGUAUAAGCACCGGCUAAACUACGUGCCAGCAGCCGCGGUAAUACGUAGGGUGCAAGCGUUAAUCGGAAAUUACUGGGGCGUAAAGCGUGCGCAGGCGGUUUAGGUAAGACAGAUGUGAAAUUCCCGGGGCUCAACCUGGGAAACUGCAUUUUGUGACUGCCCUGACUUAGAGUGCGGCCAGAGGGGGAGUGGAAUUCCCGCGUGUAGCAGUGAAAAUGCGUAAGAUAUGCGGGAGGAACACCGGAUGGCGAAGGCAAACUCCCUUGGGCCCUGCACUGGACGCCUCAUGCACGAAAAGCGUGGGGGAGCAAAACAGGGAUUAAGAUACCCCUGGGUAGUCCCACGCCCCUAAAACGAUGUCGAAUUAGUUUGUUGGGACGGGGUUACUGGUCCAGUAACGAAAGCUAACCGCGUGAAGGCCGACCCGCCUGGGGGAGUACGGCCCGCAAGGUUUAAAAACUCAAAAGGAAUUGAAUGGGGACCCCGCACAAAGCGGUGGGAUGGAUGGGGGUUUAAAUUCGGAUGCAACGGGGAAAAAACCUUUACCUUACCCU